rnacentral:rRNA from 1 species
AGAGUUUGAUCAUGGCUCAGAUUGAACGCUGGCGGCAUGCUUAAUACAUGCAAGUCGAACGGUAACAGAUUCUUCGGAAUGCUGACGAGUGGCGGACGGGUGAGUAAUACAUAGGAAUCUGCCCAUGUAGUGGGGGACAACUUGGGGAAACUCAAGCUAAUACCGCAUAAUUCCUACGGGAUAAAGAGGGCCACUGCUUGCAAGCUCUUGCUACUGGAUGAGCCUAUGUCGGAUUAGUUAGUUGGUAAGGUAAUGGCUUACCAAGACAGCGAUCCGUAGCUGGUUUGAGAGGAUGAUCAGCCACACUGGGACUGAGACACGGCCCAGACUCCUACGGGAGGCAGCAGUAGGGAGUAUUGGACAAUGGGCGCAAGCCUGAUCCAGCAAUGCCGCGUGUGUGAAGAAGGCCUGCGGGUGGUAAAGCACUUUCAAUUGGGAAGAAAGAUUAUGAGUUAAUACCUUAUAAUAUUGACGU